UUUUUUAUAAUAAUGCGUUUCUUUUUAAGAAUGCUAAUCUGUCUGGAAUUUAAAGGAGCUGCCCAAAAGAGAAACUCGCCAGUCCGUGAAAAAGACUGAAGCAUCUGCUGGAGGCCACACGACAUCCGACGAGAAAAAGACUGAUGCACCUGACCUAGACGACAAGACCCUGGACAUGAGUGACUUUAAGAUGGCCGGUGAGGUCUUUAAACACGUUGUAAAAGAUUGUUCAACUUCAAGUCUGAAGUCUCAAGACCUGUGUGUAAUUUCCCAAACACUUGUCAGCCAUCACAGUCACAGAGCCGGAUUGAUUUUAAUGAAGCAUUGUGUGAACGCUGUUGUAGCUUCCGUGGUUAGCACCUAUGUAAGAGAUGUAUUAAUGGGGUCUUGUUUAGCAUGCCGUUUGGGUAACGAAUCUCAGGAUGGACACACUUGUCUUUUACUAGAAUCUGAUUCUGAGGAAAUGCACCCUUGUGUUUCCAGCAUCUGUCAACAGAUCAGUAUUAAAAGAUUAAUUCAAAUGGUGUUUUCUAUGGUUAAACCCUUGUGUGGAUUAAGAAUUGUGAAACCGACUAAAAUUCAUAUUCUUAACUGUCUGAAACAGUUUGUUGCUGUAGUAAACACUUUUCAGCUUAUACAAAAGAUGCACCAUGCAACAAAACCUAAGAUUCGGGCAGCAGCUUUUCAACUUGUCUCUAAUCACCAUUACAGCUAUUUUUUAAAGCCAACAUCGAUUUACAGAAAUCUAAUCAAAAGGCAUUAUCCAUACUAAACAAAACCUGUUUGUGUUAUAUUUUCUGUUGACUAACUGUUGUAUUUUGUUUUGUUUUGUUGUCAGAGGAACCAAGACUCGGCAGCUAGAACAAGGAAAACCAGGUCCCAACCCAUCGUGACACGUAAUACAACCUAUAGAACGUUUUCUCCUUAUAUUAUAUCU